CCGCUUUUCAGUCAAAGGACCGGUAUCGCCCACCAUGACACAUCGUCUGCUACAACAAGAUGGCGGCUGUCAAAAUGCAUUGGGCGAAGCUAGUGAGCUCUGGAAAAUUGUAGUUUUCCAAGUAAUGGAGAUUAACAGCUGAUGUCGCGUAAGGCCAUAGACUGUUUCCCGGAUCCUCUGCUUGGUGUCGCUGCUCUUGCUCUGCUUUCCAAGGAAUUAAAGGACCGUUAUCGCCCACCAUAAAACAUGGUCUGCUUAAACAAGAUGGCGGCUGACAAAACACAUUGGGCAAGGCUUGAGAGCCUUGAAAUAUUGUAGUUUUCGCAGUAAUAGUGGAACCAUGCUAUAAUGGGAGAUGGACUAGAGAUGAGGAGAACUUUUUGACAGUUUGUGGAGAGCAGGGGGGUGGAAAAUAUCAAAUACAAAGAGUGGAAGGACUGUGCCGAAGACCAGAGAAAUGGGUGUACAGACUGAUGUAACUUUUGGGCCUAUGAUUGAAGUGACCUGGGCAUGUAGCAGUCAUGCACUUUAUACCACUCAUUCGCAUUCCUUAAUUAGAUCUAUGUUAUCAAAUGUAUCAGUCAGUGAACCAGCCUCACCCGCCAUACGCUCACAGACCUGCCAUGUCUCUGACAUACCGUCAACCGAUGCCACUUCUCCGUUGGUGCCCGAACAAAACUACUCACAACCACUUACAGUCAGUGAACCAGCCUCACCUGCUAUAUGCUCACAGACCAGCCAUGUCUCUGACAUACCGUCAACUGAUGCCACUUCUACGUUGGUGCCUAAACAAAACUGCUUGCAACCACUUACAGUCAGUGAACCAGCCUCACCAGUUGUCUGUUGUUCAAUUAUGCUUGAGCAUAACUAAGCAAAUCAAAAGAGAACCCAAAUCUUAUCAAAGAAAAAGAUUAAAAGGCAGAAAAAAAUAAUUUUAAUUGGCAGAAUUUCUUACCCACCAAUCAAGAAAUGUUCCUGGAAGAGUAUCUUUGACUCAUCUGGUCAAACUGGUAUUCAUGUACAACAAAAUGAAUAAAUGCUCAAUUAUCGCAUUAAGAGAUUUCUUUGCCAUUUGGCAUGGAUACUUUCACAAGUUCAGGAAAAAGCUGAGAUGGGUUAUCAAUUUGCAAAUGUUUGUUAAUGAGGUUACUGUUCACUGGUUGUAUAUUUUCACCAUAUAUUUGGGGCCAUUCAAAUUGGAUUGUGUGAUAUUAAUUCUAUGAUCAUGUUGUACUGUUGUUUUGUGCAGUAUCGAAGAAAGAUAUUUCAGUGUUAUAACUAUUUAUUCUUGUAACUAAUAUCAAUCCCAGCUGUAUUUCGUGGCAAAAACAUACCUAUUCUGUGACUACAAUUUCACUUUCACAAUUGUUUUUAGUGACAAUGUUGAUUGAUGAUCACUAGUGUAAACAUACAGACAUAAGCAAUAAUACAUAAUUCAUAUUUACUGUGAAACAAAAUCAGGAUAUUGAGUUUAUGUUACCAUUUCUCAAACGAAAAAUGUUU